ACGAACGCUGGCGGCGUGCCUAAUACAUGCAAGUCGAACGAACGGAGGAAGAGCUUGCUCUUCCAAAGUUAGUGGCGGACGGGUGAGUAACACGUGGGCAACCUGCCUGUAAGUUGGGGAUAACUCCGGGAAACCGGGGCUAAUACCGAAUGAUARARUGUGGCGCAUGCCACGCUUUUGAAAGAUGGUUUCGGCUAUCGCUUACAGAUGGGCCCGCGGUGCAUUAGCUAGUUGGUAGGGUAAUGGCCUACCAAGGCAACGAUGCAUAGCCGACCUGAGAGGGUGAUCGGCCACACUGGGACUGAGACACGGCCCAGACUCCUACGGGAGGCAGCAGUAGGGAAUCUUCCGCAAUGGACGAAAGUCUGACGGAGCAACGCCGCGUGUAUGAAGAAGGUUUUCGGAUCGUAAAGUACUGUUGUUAGAGAAGAACAAGGAUAAGAGUAACUGCUUGUCCCUUGACGGUAUCUAACCAGAAAGCCACGGCUAACUAC
rnacentral:rRNA from 1 species